AGCGAACGCUGGCGGCAGGCUUAACACAUGCAAGUCGAGCGGGCAUCCUUGUGGUGUCAGCGGCAGACGGGUGAGUAACGCGUGGGAACGUGCCCUUCGGUUCGGAAUAACUCAGGGAAACUUGAGCUAAUACCGGAUACGUGCGAGAGCAGAAAGGUUUAUCUGCCGAAGGAUCGGCCCGCGUCUGAUUAGCUAGUUGGUGAGGUUAUGGCUCACCAAGGCGACGAUCAGUAGCUGGUCUGAGAGGAUGAUCAGCCACACUGGGACUGAGACACGGCCCAGUCUCCUACGGGAGGCAGCAGUGGGGAAUAUUGGACAAUGGGGGCAACCCUGAUCCAGCCAUGCCGCGUGAGGGAUGACGGCCUUAGGGUUGUAAAGCUCUUUUCUCCGGGACGAUAAUGACGGUACCGGAGGAAUAAGCCCCGGCUAACUUCG
rnacentral:rRNA from 1 species